AUAUAUUUAAUACAGUUGAUUUUAUAAUUUAUUUCUGGGUCCUUAAACUUAGAGGUGUCCAUUUAUCGAUACAAAUUAAACAACAAAUUAUAUAAAAAUUCCGGAAUGGUGGAAAGCAUGAAGGAAUACACUGGAAAGUAGCCCCAAAAGUGAUAGAAAACGUGGAGAAUCGUAUGCUUCCAUUUGCUGAAGACGAUAUGUGUUUAAGGUGGACCUUCUAGCACGAUAACGAUUCAGAACACACACCUAAGUUAGUUAAAGAAUAGUUCACUUCUCAAGGACUACGUGUAAUAUCAUGGCCAGCACAAAGCCCAGACCUCAAUCUAGUUGUAUACAUGGGAUGAAAUUAAUCGGAAAUUCUAUGAAAAAAGACUGUCAAAUUUAAAGAAGUUCAAAAUCAAUGAUAAGAAAUAUAGAAGGAUUAUAUUGAAAAGGUACUGAAAUCACUGAGAAAAAAGUAUUCAGAAGUUAUUAGAAAUAAUGGAUAUGCUACUAAAUACUAAAUAAAGGAAGACUAAAUGUA